UGAACGCUGGCGGUAGGCCUAACACAUGCAAAUCGAACGGCAGCACAGUAAGAGCUUGCUCUUACGGGUGGCGAGUGGCGGACGGGUGAGGAAUACAUCGGAAUCUACUUUUUCGUGGGGGAUAACGUAGGGAAACUUACGCUAAUACCGCAUACGACCUACGGGUGAAAGCAGGGGAUCUUCGGACCUUGCGCGAUUGAAUGAGCCGAUGUUGGAUUAGCUAGUUGGCGGGGUAAAGGCCCACCAAGGCGACGAUCCGUAGCUGGUCUGAGAGGAUGAUCAGCCACACUGGAACUGAGACACGGUCCAGACUCCUACGGGAGGCAGCAGUGGGGAAUAUUGGACAAUGGGCGCAAGCCUGAUCCAGCCAUACCGCGUGGGUGAAGAAGGCCUUCGGGUUGUAAAGCCCUUUUGUUGGGAAAGAAAAGCAGCAGGUUAAUACCCCGCUGUUCUGACGGUACCCAAAGAAUAAGCACCGGCUAACUUCGUG
rnacentral:rRNA from 1 species